UAGUGCUUUCCAUUGGCUCCAUGUUCUGCUAUAUACAUCUCCUGGUUUUAGGAUUUAGUAGGUUGCUUCUUGUCUCAUAUUGUACUGCGCUCUGGUUCUGUGCUCUUUUGAUGUGUUGAGGACGUUGUAUGGAUGGAUGAAGGCGUAGAACAAGCGCAGCCCAGCCUUCUCUUUCCGAGAUCUGUGAGGCAAGCAUCCUUCCAUCGUUUAUGGAUUGCAGAAGGCACAGAAUGAGAUCGGCCCAGCCUUCUCUUACCUGGAUCAGCCAA